rnacentral:rRNA from 1 species
CCUUUUGUAUAAUGGGUCAGCGACUUAUAUUCUGUAGCAAGGUUAACCGAAUAGGGGAGCCGAAGGGAAACCGAGUCUUAACUGGGCGUUAAGUUGCAGGGUAUAGACCCGAAACCCGGUGAUCUAGCCAUGGGCAGGUUGAAGGUUGGGUAACACUAACUGGAGGACCGAACCGACUAAUGUUGAAAAAUUAGCGGAUGACUUGUGGCUGGGGGUGAAAGGCCAAUCAAACCGGGAGAUAGCUGGUUCUCCCCGAAAGCUAUUUAGGUAGCGCCUCGUGAAUUCAUCUCCGGGGGUAGAGCACUGUUUCGGCAAGGGGGUCAUCCCGACUUACCAACCCGAUGCAAACUGCGAAUACCGGAGAAUGUUAUCACGGGAGACACACGGCGGGUGCUAACGUCCGUCGUGAAGAGGGAAACAACCCAGACCGCCAGCUAAGGUCCCAAAGUCAUGGUUAAGUGGGAAACGAUGUGGGAAGGCCCAGACAGCCAGGAUGUUGGCUUAGAAGCAGCCAUCAUUUAAAGAAAGCGUAAUAGCUCACUGGUCGAGUCGGCCUGCGCGGAAGAUGUAACGGGGCUAAACCAUGCACCGAAGCUGCGGCAGCGACGCUGAUGCGUUGUUGGGUAGGGGAGCGUUCUGUAAGCCUGCGAAGGUGUGCUGUGAGGCAUGCUGGAGGUAUCAGAAGUGCGAAUGCUGACAUAAGUAACGAUAAAGCGGGUGAAAAGCCCGCUCGCCGGAAGACCAAGGGUUCCUGUCCAACGUUAAUCGGGGCAGGGUGAGUCGACCCCUAAGGCGAGGCCGAAAGGCGUAGUCGAUGGGAAACAGGUUAAUAUUCCUGUACUUGGUGUUACUGCGAAGGGGGGACGGAGAAGGCUAUGUUGGCCGGGCGACGGUUGUCCCGGUUUAAGCGUGUAGGCUGGUUUUCCAGGCAAAUCCGGAAAAUCAAGGCUGAGGCGUGAUGACGAGGCACUACGGUGCUGAAGCAACAAAUGCCCUGCUUCCAGGAAAAGCCUCUAAGCAUCAGGUAACAUCAAAUCGUACCCCAAACCGACACAGGUGGUCAGGUAGAGAAUACCAAGGCGCUUGAGAGAACUCGGGUGAAGGAACUAGGCAAAAUGGUGCCGUAACUUCGGGAGAAGGCACGCUGAUAUGUAGGUGAAGUCCCUUGCGGAUGGAGCUGAAAUCAGUCGAAGAUACCAGCUGGCUGCAACUGUUUAUUAAAAACACAGCACUGUGCAAACACGAAAGUGGACGUAUACGGUGUGACGCCUGCCCGGUGCCGGAAGGUUAAUUGAUGGGGUCAGCGCAAGCGAAGCUCUUGAUCGAAGCCCCGGUAAACGGCGGCCGUAACUAUAACGGUCCUAAGGUAGCGAAAUUCCUUGUCGGGUAAGUUCCGACCUGCACGAAUGGCGUAAUGAUGGCCAGGCUGUCUCCACCCGAGACUCAGUGAAAUUGAACUCGCUGUGAAGAUGCAGUGUACCCGCGGCAAGACGGAAAGACCCCGUGAACCUUUACUAUAGCUUGACACUGAACAUUGAGCCUUGAUG